UACGAAGGGCCCAAGCGUUGCGCGGAAUCACUGGGCUUAAAGGGUGCGCAGGCGGAUCUGCAAGUACCCUGUGAAAUCCCACGGCUCAACCGUGGAAUUGCAGGGUAUACUGCGGGUCUUGAGCCCGGCAGAGGCCAUCGGAACUCUAGGUGGAGCGGUGAAAUGCGUAGAUAUCUAGAGGAACGCCAAAGGUGAAGACAGAUGGCUGGGCCGGUGCUGACGCUCAGGCGCGAAAGCGUGGGGAGCGAACGGG
rnacentral:misc_RNA from 1 species